rnacentral:rRNA from 1 species
UAAGCUGGUUGGGUUGUUGCUGGCUCUCCGGGGCAUGUGCACACCUGCACACCAACUUUUUACCACCUGUGCACCUUUUGUAGACCUGGAUAAACUCUCGAGGAAACUCGGUUUGAGGGACUGCUGUGCGUAAAAGCCAGCUUUCCUUGUAAUCUCUGGUCUAUGUUUUUAUAUGUAUACCCCCUAUAGUAUGUCUAAGAAUGUUUGUUGUUGGGCUUCAAUGCCUUCAAACUUAAUACAACUUUCAACAACGGAUCUCUUGGCUCUCGCAUCGAUGAAGAACGCAGCGAAAUGCGAUAAGUAAUGUGAAUUGCAGAAUUCAGUGAAUCAUCGAAUCUUUGAACGCACCUUGCGCUCCUUGGUAUUCCGAGGAGCAUGCCUGUUUGAGUGUCAUGAAAUUCUCAACCUUUUCAGCUUUGUUCGUUGAUCAGGCUUGGAUGUGGGAGUAUGCGGGCUUCUCAGAAGUCGGCUCUCCUUAAAUUCAUUAGCAGGACCCUUUGUUGCCUGGCUUUGGUGUGAUAAUUAUCUACGCCAUUGUGGUCAAGCAGCUUAAAAUGGGGUUCCAGCUUCUAAUCGUCUCCCUUGAGACAACUUUCUGACAAUUUGACCUCAAAUCAGGUAGGACUACCCGCCGAACUUAAGCAUAUCAAUAAGCCGGAGGA